rnacentral:rRNA from 1 species
AUUGCACGCUGGCGGCAGGCCUAACCCAUGCAAGUCGAGCGAGCGGCGGACGGGUGAGUAAUGUAUGGGGACUGCCCGAUAGAGGGGGAUAACUACUGGAAACGGUAGCGAAUACCGCAUACUAUCGGAUAACCCAUAUGGGAUUAGCUAGUAGGUGAGGUAAUGGCUUACCUAGGCGACGAUCCCUAGCUGGUCUGAGAGGAUGAUCAGCCACUCUGGGACUGAGACACGGUCCAGACUCCUACGGAGGCAGCAGUGGGGAAUAUUGUACAAGGGGCGCAAGCCUGAUGCAGCCAUGCCGCGGGUAUGAAGAAGGCCCUAGGGUUGUAAAGUACUUUCAGUCGGGAGGCGUUACCGACAGAAGAAGCACCGGCUAACUCCGUGCCAGCAGCCGCGGUAAUAC